rnacentral:tRNA from 1 species
GUCCCUAUAGUUUAGAGGAUAGAACGUCACUCUCCUAAAGUGAAGACGCAGGUUCGAGUCCUGCUGGGGAUAC